rnacentral:rRNA from 1 species
CUUGCUCUUCGAUUCAGCGGCGGACGGGUGAGUAAUGCCUAGGAAUCUGCCUGAUAGUGGGGGACAACGUUUCGAAAGGAACGCUAAUACCGCAUACGUCCUACGGGAGAAAGCAGGGGACCUUCGGGCCUUGCGCUAUCAGAUGAGCCUAGGUCGGAUUAGCUAGUUGGUGGGGUAAUGGCUCACCAAGGCGACGAUCCGUAACUGGUCUGAGAGGAUGAUCAGUCACACUGGAACUGAGACACGGUCCAGACUCCUACGGGAGGCAGCAGUGGGGAAUAUUGGACAAUGGGCGAAAGCCUGAUCCAGCCAUGCCGCGUGUGUGAAGAAGGUCUUCGGAUUGUAAAGCACUUUAAGUUGGGAGGAAGGGCAGUAAGCGAAUACCUUGCUGUUUUGACGUUACCGACAGAAUAAGCACCGGCUAACUCUGUGCCAGCAGCCGCGGUAAUACAGAGGGUGCAAGCGUUAAUCGGAAUUACUGGGCGUAAAGCGCGCGUAGGUGGUUUGUUAAGUUGAAUGUGAAAGCCCCGGGCUCAACCUGGGAACUGCAUCCAAAACUGGCAAGCUAGAGUACGGUAGAGGGUGGUGGAAUUUCCUGUGUAGCGGUGAAAUGCGUAGAUAUAGGAAGGAACACCAGUGGCGAAAGGCGACCACCUGGACUGAUACUGACACUGAGGUGCGAAAGCGUGGGGAGCAAACAGGA